rnacentral:lncRNA from 1 species
AUGAGCAGAUGUGUGGGAGCACAGCGAGGCCAAGCCUCACCUGAACCUCCGUCCCCAUCCCGCCUGACGCCCCGAGGCUCCCGGGCUGAGGGCGGCCCAGCGCCGCCGCGCCGGUCCCCCUACCCCCUUGUCUAUGCAAAACAAAACAAGGAGAAAAGUGCUGAGCGGAGGCAGCGCCAGGAACUCAGUAAGACGCUGGGAGGCAGCGGUCGCAGCCACAGUCAGUGGCUGGGAAGCGCGCCCAGGAGAGCGAGCCCGGUCUGUAGCCGCCAGCCGCCCUCGCACCCAGGCCUCUCCCACACGCACGUAUGCACUACCCUUCCCGGUCUCCGUACUUGCCGUGGAAACUCCCGAGGGACCCGGCCGCGCACCUCAAGGCAACGCAGAGAGCCUGGGGCUGAAGGAGUCCAUAUGUUCAUUUGCCUGAAGCAGAAAGUCAAAGAAGUUGUGGCUACCUGCUGCCAAAGGACAUUUGAAAUAAAGUCAGCUUCUAAAUCACCAUGUUUUAUGGACAUAUUUAUUUCCAUUUUAAGAGAAAGACAAGCCUCACAGUUGUGUUUAUAUCUGUGAGCAUUGAUUUUUCAAAUUCAAUGAUAAUUUAUUUACCUUGCAAAAAUGUCCAUGACCAGUAUGAUAAAUUAUAGAUAUGAAAAUUUAUUAAAUUUCUACAUGUGUAUAGCUGGGGCUGAAUAACUGCCUGCAUGUCAGUGUGUGCAGCUCUAAGACCAUACAAGCUCCCAUUCUUAGCACUGUGGUAUAAUAGGCUGAGCCUCCCUCUGCAGUACCAGCAUUCCAUAUGGUUCAUGUCCUGGCUGCUCAUCUUCCAAUCCAGCUCUCUGUUUAUGGCCUGGGAAAGCAGUGGAAGAUGUCCCAAGUCCUUGGAUCCCUGCACCCACAUGGGAACCUGGAAGAAGCUCCUGGCUCCUGGCUUCAGGUGGGUCCAGCUCUGACCAUUGGACUGAACCAGUAGAUGGAAGAUCUUUCUCUCUGUCCCUCCCUCUCUCUGUCUAUAACUCUGCUUCUCAAAUAAAUAAAUAAAAUAUAUUUUUUUAAAAAAUUCU